rnacentral:rRNA from 1 species
GACGAACGCUGGCGGCGUGCUUAACACAUGCAAGUCGAACGAAGAGCGAUGGAAGCUUGCUUCUAUCACUCUUAGUGGCGAACGGGUGGGUAACGCGUAAUCAACCUGCCCUUCAGAGGGGGACAACAGUUGGAAACGACUGCUAAUACCGCAUACGAUCUAAUCUCGGCAUCGAGGAUAGAUGAAAGGUGGCCUCUACAUGUAAGCUAUCACUGAAGGAGGGGAUUGCGUCUGAUUAGCUAGUUGGAGGGGUAACGGCCCACCAAGGCGAUGAUCAGUAGCCGGUCUGAGAGGAUGAACGGCCACAUUGGGACUGAGACACGGCCCAGACUCCUACGGGAGGCAGCAGUGGGGAAUCUUCCGCAAUGGACGAAAGUCUGACGGAGCAACGCCGCGUGAGUGAUGACGGCCUUCGGGUUGUAAAGCUCUGUUAAUCGGGACGAAAGGCCUUCUUGCGAAUAGUGAGAAGGAUUGACGGUACCGGAAUAGAAAGCCACGGCUAACUACGUG